GGGCGUUUAGCUCAGUUGGGAGAGCGCCUGCCUUACAAGCAGGAUGUCGGGGGUUCAAGUCCCUCAACGCCCAUCA
rnacentral:tRNA from 1 species